AAAUAAGUAAGCUAAAUAUGAAAAGCUUUUAGGCCCAUACCCUAACCAUAGAAUAAAAAUUCUCUUAUUUA
rnacentral:tRNA from 1 species